ACGAACGCUGGCGGCGUGCUUAACACCUGCACGUCGAACGGAAAGGCCCCUUUGGGGGUACUCGAGUGGCGAACGGGUGAGUAACACGUGAGUAACCUGCCCUUGACUUCGGGAUAACUUCAGGAAACUGGGGCUAAUACCGGAUAGGAAUCCUUGCUGCAUGGUGGGGGUUGGAAAGCUUCGGCGGUUUUGGAUGGACUCGCGGCUUAUCAGCUUGUUGGUGGGGUAGUGGCUUACCAAGGCUUUGACGGGUAGCCGGCCUGAGAGGGCGACCGGCCACAUUGGGACUGAGAUACGGCCCAGACUCCUACGGGAGGCAGCAGUGGGGAAUAUUGCACAAUGGGCGGAAGCCUGAUGCAGCAACGCCGCGUGCGGGAUGACGGCCUUCGGGUUGGAAACCGCUUUCAGCAGGGGCGAAGCUUGUGGUGACGGUACCUGCAGAAGAAGCACCGGCUAACUACGUG
rnacentral:rRNA from 1 species